GGAAGUAAAGUCGUAACAAGGUUUCCGUAGGUGAACCUGCGGAAGGAUCAUUAUUGUAUAACCGAGGUGCGAGGGCUGUCGCUGACCCGAAAGGUCGUGCACACCCGAGUGCCCCCACACACAUCCAUCUCACCCCUAUGUGCACCACCGCGUGGGUCCCCCUUUGGCUUGUUCGGAGGGGGGCUUACGUUUUCACACAAACUUUGUAUGCAGUGUAGAAUGUAUUUUUUGUUUUUGCGAUCACGCAAUCAAUACAACUUUCAACAACGGAUCUCUUGGCUCUC
rnacentral:misc_RNA from 1 species